GACCUCAGAUCAGGUAGGAAUACCCGCUGAACUUAA
rnacentral:rRNA from 1 species